CAGCGCAGAUUUGAGGACAAAUGUAAUGCACAUGAGAGUCGAUCGCACCGGCGGUAAAUAUUUUCCCUUCACCAGCAUAAGCUUCCGUACUUGCACCCACGACCAUGUUGGGCGUGACACCGUCCAUGACAUCAGGGUUACCGGCUUUUCCAAUACCGACAAUGAUACCAUGUUUGAUGCCAAUAUCCGCCUUGUAAAUACCAGUAUAAUCAAAGAUCAUGGCGUUGGUGAUGACCAGAUCAAGUACGUCGUCGUCACAUGCGUAGGUUGCUUGGCCCAUCCCUUCUCGUAA
rnacentral:sRNA from 1 species